rnacentral:rRNA from 1 species
GACGAACGCUGGCGGCGUGCUUAACACAUGCAAGUCGAACGGAAAGGCCCUGCUUUUGUGGGGUGCUCGAGUGGCGAACGGGUGAGUAACACGUGAGUAACCUGCCCUUGACUUUGGGAUAACUUCAGGAAACUGGGGCUAAUACCGGAUAGGAGCUCCUGCUGCAUGGUGGGGGUUGGAAAGGUUCGGCGGUUGGGGAUGGACUCGCGGCUUAUCAGCUUGUUGGUGGGGUAGUGGCUUACCAAGGCUUUGACGGGUAGCCGGCCUGAGAGGGUGACCGGCCACAUUGGGACUGAGAUACGGCCCAGACUCCUACGGGAGGCAGCAGUGGGGAAUAUUGCACAAUGGGCGGAAGCCUGAUGCAGCGACGCCGCGUGCGGGAUGACGGCCUUCGGGUUGUAAACCGCUUUCGCCUGUGACGAAGCGUGAGUGACGGUACUGGGUAAAGAAGCACCGGCUAACUACGUG